UACGUAGGGCGCAAGCGUUAUCCGGAAUUAUUGGGCGUAAAGAGCUCGUAGGCGGUUUGUCGCGUCUGUCGUGAAAGCUUGGGGCUUAACCCCAAGUCUGCGGUGGAUACGGGCAGACUAGAGGCAGGUAGGGGAGACUGGAAUUCCUGGUGUAGCGGUGAAAUGCGCAGAUAUCAGGAGGAACACCGGUGGCGAAGGCGGGUCUCUGGGCCGAUACUGACGCUGAGGAGCGAAAGCGUGGGGAGCGAACAGG
rnacentral:rRNA from 1 species